UACGUAGGGGGCGAGCGUUGUCCGGAGUUACUGGGCGUAAAGGGCAUGCAGGCGGUCGGACGCGUUUUGUGUGACAGCGGAUGGCUUACCUAUCCGAGCAUACGAAAGACGGUGCGACUUGAGGACUCGAGAGGGACACGGAAUUCCGGGUGGAGUGGUGAAAUGCGUAGAGAUCCGGAGGAACACCGAAGGCGAAGGCAGUGUCCUGGCGAGUGACUGACGCUGAGGUGCGAAAGCCAGGGGAGCGAACGGG
rnacentral:rRNA from 1 species